UACGUAGGUGGCAAACGUUGUCCGAAAUUACUGGGCGUAAAGGGCGAGUAGGCGGUUUCAUAAGUCGGAUGUGAAAUCCUACGGCUCAACCGUAGAACUGCAUUCGAUACUGUGGAACUUGAGUACUGGAGAGGAAAGCGGAACUUAUGGUGUAGCGGUAAAAUGCGUAGAUAUCAUAAGGAACACCGGUGGCGAAGGCGCUUUCUGGCCAGAUACUGACGCUGAUCCGCGAAAGCCAGGGUAGCGAACGGGAUUCAGAUACCCCCGUA
rnacentral:rRNA from 1 species